CCAAUGUGAGUUUGCCUCUGGUAGGUUUAACUAAUCUGGAGUUACUUCACUGCGACAGCUCAGAAAUUAGUGCUUGGUUUCUUGACAAAAUACAUUUUCUGGUCAACCGCAGAGAACUCAACAUAAGUGACUAUUUGCAUGAAAACGUAGCCAGAGAUCUACUUGAUUCCCCAUCAGUAAUUAAAUUAAUUCAAUCAUUGGCUUUAGCUUCUUAUUGUACGAUUCGACUUGGAGCUGCGUGAUCAGAAGCCAAAAUGAUUUCUAUUCGCAAAUAAAAGCAUUAAAAACAACAGAAUUUAUAUGCUUUGAUUGCUGUCAGUUUGGGUUUUAUGUCUUCAGGUAAAGACAUUGCCUAGGAUCGCAUUGCCAAACUAAAUCUGUAUAUAAUUGAGAUCAAAGUCCUAGUAUUCCUAUAAUCAUAUGAACUGCCAAGUUGAUUGGAAAGUGGUGAACUUCCAAAGGAGCUGAAAGUCGAGUACAAUCAUG
rnacentral:sRNA from 1 species